UACGUAGGGUGCGAGCGUUGUCCGGAAUUAUUGGGCGUAAAGAGCUCGUAGGCGGUCUGUCGCGUCGGCUGUGAAAACUCGGGGCUCAACCCCGAGCCUGCAGUCGAUACGGGCAGACUAGAGUCCGGCAGGGGAGACUGGAAUUCCUGGUGUAGCGGUGAAAUGCGCAGAUAUCAGGAGGAACACCGGUGGCGAAGGCGGGUCUCUGGGCCGGAACUGACGCUGAGGAGCGAAAGCGUGGGGAGCGAACAGG
rnacentral:rRNA from 1 species